rnacentral:lncRNA from 1 species
GGCUGCCGCCCCCUCCGCCCCCCCGCCCGGUACGCCCAUGCCCAUGGGAAUUAAACAUACGAAAAAUAAACCACCAAUUCUUAACUUUUUAACGCUUGAAAUAGGGUUGCUUGUUUUCAUCGUAUGUUGAUUUAUCGUUGUAAAUACAAGACUUAUCCCAUAGUUAACAGAAUAUAAACAUAGAUAGGGACCGCAUCUGACAGUGAUUUUAUUAUCAACUCCAACUGACGAUGAAAAAGAGGAAAUGCUUGGUGCUAGAUUCCAAGCCAUGUUUAUUUUACAUCAACUAUUAUGGGUUGAAGCGGAUUAAUAUUUUGUUUUCAGAAAAUACUACAAUCGGAAAUAUUCCAGGCAACACUUAGUGCUUUUAAGGUAUUGUUGCUUCGAUCUUUUUUAUACAAACAGUUAUCUACUAUUAAUUUUGGAAACUUUUUGUUGUUUUAACAAAAAAAUUGAAAUGAUAUGUUACCUUGUACAGACUCUAGCU